UGGGGAAUUUUGGGACAAUGGGGGAAACCCUGAUCCAGCCAUCCCGCGUGUGCGAUGAAGGCCUUCGGGUUGUAAAGCACUUUUGGCAGGAAAGAAACGUCGCGGGUUAAUACCCCGCGAAACUGACGGUACCUGCAGAAUAAGCACCGGCUAACUACGUGCCAGCAGCCGCGGUAAUACGUAGGGUGCAAGCGUUAAUCGGAAUUACUGGGCGUAAAGCGUGCGCAGGCGGUUCGGAAAGAAAGAUGUGAAAUCCCAGAGCUUAACUUUGGAACUGCAUUUUUAACUACCGGGCUAGAGUGUGUCAGAGGGAGGUGGAAUUCCGCGUGUAGCAGUGAAAUGCGUAGAUAUGCGGAGGAACACCGAUGGCGAAGGCAGCCUCCUGGGAUAACACUGACGCUCAUGCACAAAAGCGUGGGGAGCAAACAGGAUUAGAUACCCUGGUAGUCCACGCCCUAAACGAUGUCAACUAGCUGUUGGGGGCCUUCGGGCCUUGGUAGCGCAGCUAACGCGUGAAGUUGACCGCCUGGGGAGUACGGUCGCAAGAUU
rnacentral:rRNA from 1 species